rnacentral:rRNA from 1 species
GACGAACGCUGGCGGCGUGCUUAACACAUGCAAGUCGAACGGAAAGGCCCUGCUUGCAGGGUACUCGAGUGGCGAACGGGUGAGUAACACGUGGGUGAUCUGCCCUGCACUUCGGGAUAAGCCUGGGAAACUGGGUCUAAUACCGGAUAGGAGCCAUUUUUAGUGUGAUGGUUGGAAAGUUUUUUCGGUGUAGGAUGAGCUGGCGGCCUAUCAGCUUGUUGGUGGGGUAAUGGCCUACCAAGGCGGCGACGGGUAGCCGGCCUGAGAGGGUGGACGGCCACAUUGGGACUGAGAUACGGCCCAGACUCCUACGGGAGGCAGCAGUGGGGAAUAUUGCACAAGGGGCGCAAGCCUGAUGCAGCGACGCCGCGUGGGGGAUGACGGCCUUCGGGUUGUAAACUCCUUUCGCUAGGGACGAAGCUUUUUGUGACGGUACCUAGAUAAGAAGCACCGGCUAACUACGUG